UCAAACGAGAGUUUGAUCCUGGCUCAGAGCGAACGCUGGCGGCGUGCUUAACACAUGCAAGUCGAGUGCGCAGCUUCUGUAGCAAUACAGGAGUGGGCGCACGGCGCACGGGUGAGUAACACGUGGGCAAUCUGCCCUCCGAUGGGGAAUAACCCCGCGAAAGCGGGGCUAAUUCCGCAUAAUAUUCCGGGGACCUCGGUUCCUGGUUUCAAAGGCGAAAGCCGUCGGAGGAGGAGCCCGCGCACGAUUAGCUAGUUGGUAGGGUAACGGCCUACCAAGGCUAUGAUCGUUAGCUGGUCUGAGAGGAUGGCCAGCCACACUGGAACUGAGACACGGUCCAGACUCCUACGGGAGGCAGCAGUGGGGAAUAUUGCGCAAUGGGCGAAAGCCUGACGCAGCGACGCCGCGUGGGGGAUGAAGCUUCUCGGAGUGUAAACCCCUUUCGACCCGGACGAAUGCCCCGCAAGGGGAGUGACGGUACGGGUAUAAGAAGCCCCGGCUAACUACGUGCCAGCAGCCGCGGUAAUACGUAGGGGGCCAGCGUUGCUCGGAAUUACUGGGUGUAAAGGGUUAGCGGUGAAAUGCGUAGAUAUCUGCAGGAACACCCGUGGCGAAAGCGGCACGCUGGACCACUACUGACGCUGAGGAACGAAAGCUAGGGGAGCAAACAGGAUUAGAUACCCUGGUAGUCCUAGCCCUAAACGAUCAGGACUUGGGGUGUCUCGCGUUCGCGAGACGUCCCGGAGCUAACGCGUUAAGUCCUGCACCUGGGGAGUACGGUCGCAAGACUGAAACUCAAAGGAAUUGACGGGGGCCCGCACAAGCGGUGGAACAUGUGGUUCAAUUCGACGCUACGCGAGGAACCUUACCUGGGCUCGAAGCGCACCGGACCAUCCCUAGAAAUAGGGACUUCCCGCAAGGGACCUGUGUGGAGGCGCUGCAUGGCUGUCGUCAGCUCGUGCCGUGAGGUGUUGGGUUAAGUCCCGCAACGAGCGCAACCCCUGCACGUAGUUGCCACUCCGCAAGGAGGGAACUCUACGUGGACUGCUCCGGAUAACGGAGAGGAAGGUGGGGAUGACGUCAAGUCCGCAUGGCCUUUAUGUCCAGGGCUACACACGUGUUACAAUGCAGGGUACAAACCGUUGCCAACCCGCGAGGGGGAGCUAAUCGGAGAAAACUCUGCUCAGUUCGGAUUGCAGUCUGCAACUCGACUGCAUGAAGCUGGAAUCGCUAGUAAUGGCGUAUCAGAUCGACGCCGUGAAUACGUUCCCGGGCCUUGUACACACCGCCCGUCACAUCACGAAAGUGAGUUGUACUAGAAGUCGCCGUGCUAACCGCAAGGGGGCAGGCGCCCAAGGUAUGACUCAUGAUUGGGGUGAAGUCGUAACAAGGUAGCCGUAGGAGAACCUGCGGCUGGAUCACCUCCUUU
rnacentral:rRNA from 1 species